GACGAACGCUGGCGGCGUGCUUAACACAUGCAAGUCGAACGGAAAGGCCCUGCUUUUUUGGGGUGCUCGAGUGGCGAACGGGUGAGUAACACGUGAGUAACCUGCCCUUGACUUUGGGAUAACUUCAGGAAACUGGGGCUAAUACCGGAUAGGAGCUCCUGCUGCAUGGUGGGGGUUGGAAAGUUUCGGCGGUUGGGGAUGGACUCGCGGCUUAUCAGCUUGUUGGUGGGGUAGUGGCUUACCAAGGCUUUGACGGGUAGCCGGCCUGAGUGGGUGACCGGCCACAUUGGGACUGAGAUACGGCCCAGACUCCUACGGGAGGCAGCAGUGGGGAAUAUUGCACAAUGGGCGGAAGCCUGAUGCAGCAACGCCGCGUGCGGGAUGACGGCCUUCGGGUUGUAAACCGCUUUCGCCUGUGACGAAGCGUGAGUGACGGUAAUGGGUAAAGAAGCACCGGCUAACUACGUG
rnacentral:rRNA from 1 species